rnacentral:rRNA from 1 species
CCUACGGGAGGCAGCAGUGGGGAAUAUUGCACAAUGGGCGCAAGCCUGAUGCAGCGACGCCGCGUGAGGGAUGGAGGCCUUCGGGUUGUAAACCUCUUUUGUUUGGGAGCAAGCCUUCGGGUGAGUGUACCUUUCGAAUAAGCGCCGGCUAACUACGUGCCAGCAGCCGCGGUAAUACGUAGGGCGCAAGCGUUAUCCGGAUUUAUUGGGCGUAAAGGGCUCGUAGGCGGCUCGUCGCGUCCGGUGUGAAAGUCCAUCGCUUAACGGUGGAUCUGCGCCGGGUACGGGCGGGCUGGAGUGCGGUAGGGGAGACUGGAAUUCCCGGUGUAACGGUGGAAUGUGUAGAUAUCGGGAAGAACACCGAUGGCGAAGGCAGGUCUCUGGGCCGUCACUGACGCUGAGGA